GGACCCGUAGCAUAAUGGAUAGUGCACCUGACUACGGAUCAGGAGGUUGCAGGUUCGACCCCUGCCGGGUUCA
rnacentral:tRNA from 1 species